GUGUUCUCUUCAGCAGCACAUAUACUAAAAUUGGGGUGAUAGAGAGAAGGUUAGCAUGACCCUUGCACAGGAUAACAGACAGAUUUAUGAAGCAUUCCACUUUUUC